CGUAUUUUUUCCUCUCGAUCCAGUUGCUUCCUCGAUCUAGGAAAUCCUAGGGCGUGGUCUUGGACGCCGCCGCCGCCAGUGCCUCUUGAUCCUCCCGACGCCAUCCUGUCCUCGCGCCGCCAUCCUAUCCUCGUAAUCUAGGGUCCUCUCCUCGCCGCCGCCGCCCUAUAUCGGCCUCGAUCUUUGUCUAGAACUCUAGGGUUCUACACCGCCGCCGCCGCCGCCGCCGAACCAGGGAGACGCCGAUGACCGUUGCCGCCGUCGUGGAUCACCAGGAUGCCGCCGCCUGCACCGCCACCGCCGCGGCGUCGCGGCUGGCGUUGGCGAAUCCAUUCCCACUUUCCCAGAGGCGGCGGCUUCCGGCGAGGAGGCGAGCGAGCUCAGGGAGCUCUGGCGGGGGCUUGUCGCCGGUGAGGCGAGGCCAAGGUGGCGGCGCGCGGACGCGAGGAGGCGGGAUGGAGGAGGCGCAGGAGGACGCCGGCCGGUGGGGCUCCGGCGGGGGAUUGGCGAGGGCGACGGCGGUCGGCGUGCUUGCUUGGGAGGAUGGAGGCUGCCUCGCUGGGGCUCGGGCACGGCAGCACGGCGUUGGGCCGUUGCCGAUGGCGCCAGGGCCAGGGCGGUGGUUUGACGGGCGACGAGGAGGAGGUGCUAUCCUAGAGCCAGCAACGGCGGCUGCAGCUUGACGAUGCGGGCGUCAACAGCUUGCUUCAGGGGCUGCCGUGAACGGCGUUGUGCUCGCGCGCGAGACCCGUGUCUGAUUUGGAAAGAAUCAAUCCGGUGAAGAAGAAGGCCAAUGCAACUGCUCUCUAGCUAGGCACUGGAGUAUCUGCACCCCCAAUGGAAUGGUACGAAUUGCUACUGGUACUGAACAUUGACAGGCAAGCAACAACAAACAGACUUUGCUGUUUUCAGUCUACUGAGAUAUUUGUUGGGCAUCACCGAGGAACGCCAGCAAAGGCGUGAAGAAAUACUCGCAAUCAGUGUGACAUGUCGUGUGAGAUGAAGGUGGCAAACCAUCCAAACUUGAAGCCAAGCAUGUGGUGGAUCCGCCAUGGAUGAUGGAUGGACCGGUGAGUGUUGAAGUUUGAGCUGUGAAACUUUAUGCGAUCGAGCUCCUGGUGUAAUUAAGCAUAUGGCUUUUGUGAUGUGUCAUGUAGGUAGUGAUUGCCUAUAUUUCUUUCCCUCUUAAAUUUGUUGUAAUAAAGUUGUCCUUUGCAGAAGGAAGAUUGAACCGCCUUUUGGUUUAGGUAGAAGCACCCAUUGAUGUUGGAGAAGUUUUAGAAGAAAUGCAAGAGAAGGAUGUAGUUCUAGGGUGGUCCGCAUAUAGUAGGAAGGAUGUGAACAAAAAUGCAAGAGAAGGAUGUAGUUCUAGGGUGGUCCGCAUAUAGUGUGUGUGUGUGUCCCCUGUUUUGUUAUUUAGGCUUCAUUAUUCUACAAAAUAUAUUUAUUACUUUGAUUACUCAGAUUACCACAAAAUAUAUAAGUUGUUUAGGCUUAUAUUUUGUUAUUAUUCUACAAAAUAUAUAAGUUGUUUGGGCAUAUACAAUAACUUACCGCAAAAUAUAUUUUGUUAUUUAGGCUUCAUUAUUCUACAAUUUCUGGCAAAUCAAUAAACAUGCCAUACAUAAGUUGUUUUUGAACCCCAAAAAUAUAUAUAUGUCCCCUGUUGCAACUUACAACCUCUUUUCCUUUAUUUCCUUUCUUAAUAUUAAAGGGAGGUGAGUUUCUUUAAAAAGUUUACAUUGUUUAUAAAAUUUUAAAACCAUGGGAAAGUAGUGCAUCAGGGAAGGUUCACCACUAGACCCCCUGAUUGCAACAAAACAUCCUUUAUGCUGAUUAUUUUUGGUAAUUAUGUAUUUAACAAAGCUCUCGUGUUUUGCUGGCGCAUGCCGUUUGUUCCUCUGCAAGUGCCACUUCGCUGCAACCACUCUGUCAUUCAUGAAGAAUGUGAAGGCAAGGCUCCAUUCAAGGGAGCGCGGCUAGCAACUAGGCCCUCUAGGUGGACGCGAUCUUGAGCAGCAAAGAGCAGAUGGUCCGACAAGGCGAGCGUGAUUGCAGGCAACUGUUACACAUGUCGAGUUUGCUGACGAGAUUUCUGUUCAAAAGGCGAGCGCGAGGCCACCACAAGGUGGACUGGCGGAUUGCUCUAAAAUUGUUGUACAUGCAAGAACAGAGCAUUCGCGUUCCUGUUUGCCGACGGGGCCAACGACGAGCUGAGCUUGCUGUAGGCGGUGGAGGCGCACACGUUCCCGCACCUGUUUGCCGAGAUGAAGAAGAAAGUUGACCUCGCGCCCGCUGCCAUUAUCUCUGCAAAGGCCUCUGACAGUUCGGUGCUCAAAUCAAUUGAUGCCAACAGACCAGUGAGGCGCAAAAACUGAAUGCAGGCGCAAGAACACUGACUUCAGGAACAGAGCAUUCGCAUUUCCGUUUACCGACGGUGCCAACGACGAGUUGACCUCGCUGUAAGCGAUGGAGGCGCACGCGUUCCCGCACCAGUUCGCCGAGAUGAAGAAAGUUGGCCUCGCGCCCGCUCCCAUUAUCUCUGCGAGGGCCUCUGACAGUUCGGUGCUCAAAUCAAUUGACGCAAACAGACCAGUGAGGCACAAAAACUUUAUAUUUGCUGCUGUCAAAGAAUGAGAGACAAACAUUAUCAUUGCACUGAAUGCAACUUGUAAAUAGGAAAUUUAAUAUGUCAUCAUCUCUUGUAGGGGGUGAAAACCGUUUCAUUUAUAAAUCAGAUAUGAAGUGCUAGAGCAAUGAGAAUGAAGAGAGUGAAAGUAGAGGAGAGGAGGGCUGGUUUGUUUGUUUGUUCCUUUUUAUCAGUCAUGUACUAUGGAAUGUUCUAUAUAAGUUUUUUGUCCAAUGGUUGCGCGUGCAGUAUUAAAACCAGUCAAUCAAUCCUUUUUAUGAUGAAUUUAAGAGUUUUUAUCUUGAAAGCAGUCUUAUAACAUCUAUUUUAUUUUUGGACUCUUGAAUUGUAGGGUCUAUGUCAGUGAUGUGAUGCUUACAUGUUCUAUGAUGUUUUUCUAACACACCGUCCAUGCUUUCUUGACAGGAAACAGAGAAGUGGCCGGAUGGGCAAUCAACUCAUCUGUUAAUUGGAUUGGGGGUGGCAUGAACAAAGUAAAGAUGAAGAAAGCAAGCUUGGACGCUAGGUGGCGGCACCAACAGGGGAAGUGUCAGGCGUGAACCAAACAUCUAUGGCUUGUUGCUUUGAAUCUUGCUGGUCUAGGCAAGGUUUUUUGUAAACAUCUGCAAGAGACAAGACUCAGCCCAUUACAUAGGUGGCGACAAGUGUACAUGAAAUGAACAGCGAGCAGUUAAGAACUCAUUUGCAUAGCAUGGUUUACCUCAUCAGAAUCACCAAUUUCAUGGCUGCAUAUGAUCUUAAAAGCUGUUGCAAGUUUCAAAAGGUCCCAGUUCUCACAGUCAAUGCCAGAAACAUUCUUAAGGUGGCGACCAAUAGCUUGAAAGUUUUCAUACUGUUUCUUCUCAAAAGCAUCACAAUCAAACAAGACAGAUGCAGUCGCAACAAUCUGCUCAUUGACCUGGAUACAAAGAGGUUGCCAUCACUGAAACAAGAAUGCAAUGCCAUUUUAUUCUACAAAAUAUUGCGUCCAAAGGUUUGGUCUGUGAAAUGAAGGAUACCAAGUCUAUUCGCACAAGAUAUUGCAAAAUGUGACACUAAAUGACAGGGAGUUCCAAAUAAAGCAAAAGCAUGGCAGCUGGUAACUCACCAUCUCUUGUUUGAUGUCAAAGCCAUAAUGACUCAAUAGCUUUUGUAGUCCUUGACUCACAGGGAGGCGAUCCUCUUUAGGCAGCUCUACCAAACUAUGCAUGUGAUGCUUCAUGCCCCACAUUAGCUCCAUCACAAUUUCAUCAUGCAAGCAGGGUAUUCUCUGAAAAGCGUAACAUAAAAAAUGGCGCUCAAAGUUGUUCUCAAAUGUCAAAUAUAAGGAAACAAGGAGCUUACACUCA